rnacentral:SRP_RNA from 2 species
GCCGGGUGUGGUGGCUCACUCCUGUAAUCCUAACACUUUGGGAGGCUGAGGCAGGUGGAUCACUUGUGGUCAGGAGUUCAAGACCAGCCUGACCAACAUGGUGAAAUCCUGUCUUUA